UACAGAGGUCCCAAGCGUUGUUCGGAUUCACUGGGCGUAAAGGGUGCGUAGGUGGUUAGGUAAGUCCGAUGUGAAAUCUCCAGGCUCAACCUGGAAAUGGCAUUGGAUACUAUUUAGCUUGAGGAGUGGAGGGGGGGACUGGAAUUCCUGGUGUAGCGGUGGAAUGCGCAGAUAUCAGGAGGAACACCGGUGGCGAAGGCGGGUCUCUGGGCAGUAACUGACGCUGAGGAGCGAAAGCGUGGGGGGAGCGAACAGG
rnacentral:rRNA from 1 species